CAAAAAUGCUGUACAGGAUGGCUGUUUCCUUGGGAAAUAAGAAGGGUUCUGUGCAACCAAGGACACCGAGGUCCUGCCCUUGUGGAUUCCAGGUGACUGCAGUCACCAGGGUGACACUGCACAGCUCUGACCUCUGGGCUGCUCAGGGCUGUGGCCUCAUCACACUGCUCCUUUUUCACUUUUUGUCCCUCGUUAAUCAGUUUCCAGGCAGCUUUGCUAUCUGAGGCAGCGCAGGGCGGCGAUGCUUUGGGGCCGGAGCAGCAGCAGGAAAGGAACGUGAACAGCAACGCAAGGCUCGUGCCUGAAAUGUACCCUUGUGCACUUAGCAGUGCUGGUGCUGUGCUGUGAGUCACAGGCUCUCGUCCAGGAAGAGCUGAGCAGUUCCACUGACAGGAAGCCGCUAUUUUUAAUAUCUUUCUUGAAAAUGUCACAUACAGAAGAUACCAUUGUAAAGGCAGAAGUUAAUGCGAAUACCAUCACCAUAGCUCAGGUAUGACAUCAGUUGAAAUGGCUGAGAAAGGUCCUGCGUCAUCCAGGUCUCUGUGUGUGUCCUCAGUUUGGGGCUCGAUGUCCCCACAGGCACUUUUGCGUGACGGACCUUUCCAUGUGAUGCUGCAGGAUGCAAAGCUGCCAGCACCAUCCCAGGGAGGAGAGCCAGCACGUCGUGGUCUGUUCAGCACAGCCCAGCUGGAUCCGAGUCGGUGUAAGCAGCAACACUGUGCUGCUCAAGGGGCGAGGUGAUGCAACAGUGAGAUUUUUCCAGGCAUCAAAGCACAGCCAUACACAGAACAGUGCUGCAACUCUUCAUUUCAGACUGGUG